UGGGGAAUAUUGGACAAUGGGCGAAAGCCUGAUCCAGCCAUGCCGCGUGUGUGAAGAAGGUCUUCGGAUUGUAAAGCACUUUAAGUUGGGAGGAAGGGCAGUAAGCGAAUACCUUGCUGUUUUGACGUUACCGACAGAAUAAGCACCGGCUAAUUCUGUGCCAGCAGCCGCGGUAAUACAGAGGGUGCAAGCGUUUAUCGGAAUUACUGGGGGGAAAGCGCGCGUAGGUGGUUCGUUAAGUUGAAUGUGAAAGCCCCGGGCGCAACCGGGGAACUGCGUCCAAAACUGGCGAGCUAGAGUAGGGCAGAGAGUGGUGGAAUAUCCUGUGUAGCGGUGAAAUGCGUAGAUAUAGGAAGGAACACCAGUGGCGAAGGCGACCACCUGGGCUCAUACUGAGACUGAGGUGCGAAAGCGUGGGGAGCAAACAGG
rnacentral:rRNA from 1 species